CUGCUGACUCUCUGUCUUAGAAGGAUUUCUCUUUAGCAUGGAUGAAACGAAAGAUGCGAUUAUACUUGGCUUCGUGAUUUAUUUCAUUCUAAUAACGCUUCUACUCAUAAUCAACGAAGCUUUCUGCAAAGCAUCUUGCAUGAAGUAUGCCCGCCAGGUCGCUAACGGACACCUGCAAGACAUAGAAACCAACGAGAGAAGACCCUCGAAAGUAAUCACCAGGUCCCCUUCGCGAUAUGACCGAGGCGACGUACCUAAACAUUACUACCAGAAUAGCAACUGUAUGUAUGUCGUUUAACUAGUUUGAGCAACUUUCAAUAGAUGGCGUUAUAACGAUUAGUUCUGCUACUCGCCGGUAGAUGGGGCGAUUUUUAAAUUCAAACAAAUUGUUAGCUCGUAAAAAAGUUUAAUUUAUUAUCGACCUUACAUUACCAAUGAAAUAAAUAUACAAAAUCAGACGUUUCUUUAAUAUUAAACCCACUUAAACACUACUUUUACUCUUAAUUUGUCUUAAUAUAAAUAAUUAUUCUUGUUUUCUUAUUACAAAUCUGUCAAUAAAAAAUUCUACAAUACUUA